AUUGAACGCUGGCGGCAUGCCUUACACAUGCAAGUCGAACGGCAGCACGGGAGCAAUCCUGGUGGCGAGUGGCGAACGGGUGAGUAAAGUAUCGGAACGUGCCCAGUCGUGGGGGAUAACGUAGCGAAAGCUACGCUAAUACCGCAUACGAUCUAUGGAUGAAAGCGGGGGAUCGCAAGACCUCGCGCGAUUGGAGCGGCCGAUAUCAGAUUAGGUAGUUGGUGGGGUAAAGGCCCACCAAGCCGACGAUCUGUAGCUGGUCUGAGAGGACGACCAGCCACACUGUGACUGAGACACGGCCCAGACUCCUACGGGAGGCAGCAGUGGGGAAUUUUGGACAAUGGGCGCAAGCCUGAUCCAGCAAUGCCGCGUGCAGGAUGAAGGCCUUCGGGUUGUAAACUGCUUUUGUACGGAGCGAAAAGGCUCUCUCUAAUACAGGGGGCUCAUGACGGUACCGUAAGAAUAAGCACCGGCUAACUACGUGCCAGCCGCCGCCGUAAGAC
rnacentral:rRNA from 1 species